UGGGAGGUGCUGGAGCUGCCC
rnacentral:miRNA from 1 species